rfam:Ciona intestinalis ciona0355, whole genome shotgun sequence.
GGCGCCGUGGCAAAGUGGUUAACGCGCCUGCCUGUAACCCAGAGGUAAUGGGUUCAAGGCUCAUUGUUGCUA